AUCCAACUGAUGAGUCUUGAAUAGGAUGAAACGCAUGUCCUGGAU
rnacentral:hammerhead_ribozyme from 1 species